GCUAAUACCGCAUACGACCUACGGGUGAAAGCAGGGGAUCUUCGGACCUUGCGCGAUUGAAUGAGCCGAUGUCGGAUUAGCUAGUUGGCGGGGUAAAGGCCCACCAAGGCGACGAUCCGUAGCUGGUCUGAGAGGAUGAUCAGCCACACUGGAACUGAGACACGGUCCAGACUCCUACGGGAGGCAGCAGUGGGGAAUAUUGGACAAUGGGCGCAAGCCUGAUCCAGCCAUACCGCGUGGGUGAAGAAGGCCUUCGGGUUGUAAAGCCCUUUUGUUGGGAAAGAAAUCCAUCUGGUUAAUACCCGGGUGGGAUGACGGUACCCAAAGAAUAAGCACCGGCUAACUUCGUGCCAGCAGCCGCGGUAAUACGAAGGGUGCAAGCGUUACUCGGAAUUACUGGGCGUAAAGCG
rnacentral:rRNA from 1 species